rnacentral:snRNA from 1 species
AAACUUAGCUGGCGGGGGAGACAUCGUGAUGAAGUUGGUUUUCCCCAGGGUGAGGCUUAGCCAUUGCAAGGCAACUGUGAUGACCCCUCCCAGUUCUCCACAUGUCUAGAAACUUAACUACACAAUUUUUUGGUAAU